rnacentral:snoRNA from 1 species
ACAGGCCCUAGAAGCAUUGUAGGUGUGGCUGCUGUGUCACAAGUACAUUAGUAGGUGGCAGAAAAGAGAUAGGCUAUGUCUAUGUUCAGUGUUCUGACCUUUGAAUAUGUGAAUGAUUAGUAGCUUAACAUU